rnacentral:rRNA from 1 species
UCGGCCGCGGGAAUUCGAUUCAGGCCUAACACAUGCAAGUCGAACGGUAUCGGGCCUUCGGGUGCCGACGAGAGGAGAACGGGUGAGUAAUGUAUCGGAACGUGCCCAGUAGUGGGGGAUAGCCCGGCGAAAGCCGGAUUAAUACCGCAUACGACAUACGGGUGAAAGGGGGGGAUCGCAAGACCUCUCGCUAUUGGAGCGGCCGAUAUCAGAUUAGGUAGUUGGUGGGGUAAAGGCCUACCAAGCCUGCGAUCUGUAGUUGGUCUGAGAGGACGACCAGCCACACUGGGACUGAGACACGGCCCAGACUCCUACGGGAGGCAGCAGUGGGGAAUUUUGGACAAUGGGCGCAAGCCCGAUCCAGCAAGGGCGCGUGCAGGAAGAAGGCCUUCGGGUUGUACUUUGAUGGGUCAGGGAAGAAAUCCUCUGGGUUAAUACCUCGGGGGGAUGAC